rnacentral:rRNA from 1 species
UCAAACGAGGAAAGGCUUACGGUGGAUACCUAGCACCAAGAGACGAGAAGGGCGCGUAGUAAGCGACGAAAUGCUUCAGGGAGUUGAAAAUAGCGUAGAUCCCGGAGAUUUCCGAAUAGGUCAACCCUUUCAAACUGCUGCUGAAUCCAUGGGGCAGGCAAGAGACAACUGGCGAACUGAAACAUCUUAGUAACCAGAGGAAAAGAAGCAAAAGCGAUUCCGUAGUAGCGCGAGCGAGCGAAAAUGGAGCAGCUAUAACCGGUUGUGAAAACGGGGUAUGUGGGAGAGCUAAUACAAGCGUCGUGCUGCUAGGCGAAGCGGUGGAGUGCUGCACCUAGAUGGCGAGAGGUCCAGUAGCCCGAAGCAUCCCUAGCUUACGCUCUGACGCCGAGUUAGCAUGGGGCACGUGGAAUCCCGUGUGAAUCAGCAAGACCACUUUGCAAGGCUAAAUACUCCUGGGUGAACCGAUAGAAGUAGUACCGUGAGGGAAGGUGAAAAGAACCCCAUCGGGGAGUGCAAUAGAACAUGAUAACCGUAAGCUCCAAGCAGUGGGAGGAGCCCGGGGAGGAGCCCGGGGCUCUGACCGCGUGCCUGUUGAGAAUGAGCUGUGCGACUCAUAUGGCAGUGCUUGGUUAAGGGAACCCACCGGAGCCGUAGCGAAAGCGAGUCUUCGUAGGGCAAUCUGUCACUGCUUAUGGACCCGAACCUGGGUGAUCUAUUGCCAUGACAGGAUGAAGCUUGGUGAAACUAAGUUGGAGGGUCCGAACCGACUGAUGUUGAAGAAUUCAGCGCGGAUGAGUUUGUUGGGUUAGGUAAAUGCCACUCGAAGCCAGAGCUAGCUGGUUCUCCCGAAAUGCGUUGAGGCGCAGCAAGUUGACUGGACAUCUAGGGUUUAAAGCACUGUUUCGGUGCGGGCGCGAGAGCGUACCAAAUCGAGGGCAAACUCUGAAUACUAGAUAUUGACCUCAAAUAACAGGGUUAAGGUCGGCCAGUGAGACGAUGGGGAUAAGCUUCAUCGGUCGAGAGGGAAACAGCCCGGAUCACCAGCUAAGGCCCUAAAAUGAUCGCUCUCAGUGAUAAAGGAGUAGGGGUGCGAGACAGAGGAGGUUUGCCUAGAAGCAAGCACCCUUGACCAAGAGUGCGUUAAUAGCUCACUGAUCGAGCGCUCUUGCGCCGAAAUGAACGUUGCUAAGCGAUCUGCCGAAGCUGUGGGAAUGUAAAAAUGCAUCGGUUAGUGGGAGCGAAUUCAGCCUUAAGGGAAGCACCCGCGCGAGCAGGGUGGACGAGCGGAAGCGCAGAAUGUUCGGCUUGAGUAACGCAAAACAUUGGUGAGAAUCUAAGCCCGAAAACCUAAGGUUCUCCGCAAGUUCGUCCACGGAGGGUGAGUCAGGCCUAGAUCGACGAAGGGUAGUCGAUGGAAAAAGGUGAAUAAUUCCCUGUACACCCCUUGUUGGUCCCGAGACGGAGGAGGCUAGUAAGUUAGCCGAAGAUGCGUUAUCGUUCAAGGAGCACGGUGUCCCUGCUUGUUCAGCGGUAAAAGGGUAGAGGAAAAUUGCUCGAGCCAAUGUUCGAGUACAGGCGCUACGGCGCUGAAGUAACCAUUGCCAUGACUCCAGGAAAAGCUCGAACGACCUUCAACAAAGGGUACUGUACCGAAACCGACACAGGUGGGUAGGGAGAGAUACCUAGGGGCGCGAGGACAACGUCUCUCUAAGGAACUCGGCAAAAUAGACCGUAACUUGGAGAAGGGUGCCCCCUCACAAGGGGUCGCAGUGACCAGGCUCGGGACUGUUUUACCAAACACAGGUCUCGCAAGGUCGUAAGUACCAUUUAGGGGCUGACGCCUGCCAGUGGCCGAAGGUCAAGGAAGUGGUUGACUAUGACAGGGGAGCGGCAACGACAGCCCGGUGAGACGGCGCCUAACAUAACGGUCUAAGGUAGCGAAAUUCCUUGUCGGGUAAGUUUCCGGACCCGCACGAAAGCUAACGAUCUGGCACUGUCUCGGAGAGAGGCUCGGUGAAAUAGACAUGUCUGUGAAGAUGCGGACUACCUGCACCUGGCGAAAGACCCUUAUUGAAGUUCACUGUUCCUGGAUUGGCUGGCCUUCUGCCCUUAGGUGGAAGGCAAGAAGGCCCCUUCAGGGGGGUCAAGCCAUCAGUGAGAUACCCUCUGAGAGCUAGAUUCUAACCUGUGUCAGACUACGGCAAGGACGUCUCAGGUUAGAAGUUUCUAUGGGCGUUAGGCCUCCAAAGGACGGAGCGUGCAAAGGUUUCUCGGGCCGGACGGAGAUUGGCCUCGAGUGCAAAGGCAGAGGAGCUUGACUGCAGACCACCCGUCGAGCAGGGACGAAGUCGGCCUUAGUGAUCCGACGGUUGCCGAGUGAGAAGGGCCGUCGCUAACGGAUAAAAGUUUACUCUAGAUAACAGGUUGUCUUCCAAGAAGUCACAUCGACGGGAAGGUUUGGACUCGAUGUCGGCUCUUCGCCACUGGGGAUGUAGUAGUCCAAGGGUUGGCUGUUGCCCAUUAAGCGGCGUGAGCUGGGUUAGGACGUCGUAACAGUUCGGUCCAUAUCGGUGUGGGCGUUAGAGCAUUGAGAGGAGCCUUCCCAGUUACGAGAACCGGGAGGACGCACCUCUGUUGGUUGUCAGUUAUCGUGCCCACGGUAAACGCUGGGUAGCCAAGUGCGAGCGGAUAACUGCUGAAAGCAUCUAAGAGUAAGCCCACCCAAGAGAGUGCUUCUAUUCGACUUCCAGCAGCCCGUUAGCACGCCUAGACAGCGAGGGAGUUUAUCGCCCUGGGGGAUGGAGCGGACAGAAGUUUUGAGAAAUUCAAGAGAAGGUCCGCGAGCAGCGUUUAUCU